AGAAGUGGGUGGAUGGUCGCUCCCGGCGCAAGCGGGGAGAGGAAAGUCCGAACACCAGAAGGCAGCGUGCCGCAGAAAAGCUGCGGAGCGGCGUGGCUCAAGCCGCGCUGGAUGGAAAGUGUCACAGAAAACAAACCGCCCCGAUCGCAAGACCGGGGUAAGGGUGAAAAGGCGGGGUAAAAGCCCACCGCCCGGUGAGUGAUCAUCGGGGCAUGAUAAACCCCACGCGGUGCAAGGCCAAACAGAGGCGUCGGGCCGCCUGUCCUCCCGGCUCCCUUCACGGGGAUUCGGGACGCCUCGGGUACAGGUCGCACUCCGGCACGGUUCGCUGUGUCGAGUCGGUCGGGGCAACCCGAUCGAAGAUAAAUGACCAUCGGUGAGGGUCCACCGCCGCAAGGCGGAGACGUUCAUUACAGAAUUCGGCUUAUAGCCCACGACGAAGG
rnacentral:RNase_P_RNA from 1 species